UCGGCCGGCAGCGGGGCGGAGGCGACCUGGCGGGGCGGCUCGGCCCGGGCGCACGCAGGUGGGGCGCAGGCCCAGCCCGCAGCCCAUUCUCCCCAGACACAGGGCCGAGAGGGGCCGUCGGCAAACGCACCAGACGGGCGGAAAAAAAAGACCAGGAUGAAGGGAGGAAGACACAGCCAGCCAGAGAAGGGAGAAGAGGAGAAACAUCUGGAAAAUAUCAGUGUUGCAGAGCCUCCUGGAAACUGACCUCGCCACCGAAAGGGUAACAGACUGCACCCUUCUGAAAGUCACAGUUAACUUCAUGGUCCCCUCUGCCACACAUCCUGAGUCAGGAGCUGCUGAUAUGUAUACCUUGCACUCGGUAAUCUCAGACUCAUGGGGAGACAGCCUGAGAUGAGGAUGAUUCUGAACCCAAAGAAAUGCUCCCUCACUAGUCACAAGUGGCUUUUCCUGUCCUGCCCAAGUCAUCAUUCUGCCCCCUCUCUCCCUAUACCAUCUAUCCUUGCCCUUCCUCACUGCAACCCAGAUGUCCACAGAUAGUCCACAAGGGAUCUUAAGGGAUCUCACCAGGGCUGUGUGCUACACAAGAGAGCUUCCACUGAUCUAUAAUUGGGGUAAAGCAAAAACUUUUCAAGGUGAUGAUUAUGCAAAUCCAGAAAACCCAAAUUUCAGGCCCAGUCUGCCCACAGCAGAAUUACUUUCACUCUCUUCUUUUAGAAAGUACCCUCAUAAGAAAAAUUUAUUAAAUGUCAUUUUGCAAGUCCAACUGGGGACAAAUCACAUAAGAUAUGUUAAAAUACAUGUCCUUUAAUGUGUUACUUGUUUUACAACUGCUGAAUGAAUAGUUCAAGCGCCCCACGUCAGCCUUAUAAUUCAUUUUAGAUUGUUAGCAGCUUCAUGGAUCUUUGAACAUUCACCACCGGCCUCAGGAAGCCUGGAGAGAAAGUUCUUUUGUAUUUAAAUGCAAGCAAGCAGUCACCUUGGGGAAGAAUGUUCUGUUUUAGCUCAAGAGCAAUGAAAGCUCAGCUUAUUUUAAAAGGCUUUAUGUGAAUAAGGACAUUCCUCAGUCUCCUGUAUAACCUCAAAGCCAUCUGCUCUGGGCAAGCUACAUUGCCCCAUACCCCUACCCUGCAACAUGGUGACAAAGGGCAGCUGAUUCUCUAGGGCUCCCCUUGGCCUUCUGCUGCUCUUCUGCUGCUCUCAGAUAUAUACCAGGUCAUCUUGAUUUUGUUGUGCUUUUAUUCAAAACGGGAUAAUUUACUUCUUAGCCCCAGUGAAUAAUGGUCCAGUACAUCAUAAUGAUUUGUUAUCUCCUGUAGGUGGGACUUGUUGAUUCUUGUAUGUUUAAGAAACAACCCAACAUCCUUCGCAUGACAACAAUCUGUUAUGGCCCGCCUGAUACAAAAUUGCAACUAAGUUAGCAACACUUCUCAUUUAAUAACAAACUGUACUUAAAUACUGUGUUGAACUCCUACAAGUGUCUAAUAAUGGAACUCCCACCUUUUGUGUCAAGAUGGAAGAAUGAAAAUGCUGGCUAAGAUUCUGAAGGUUUAUUCAUUCAUUGCGGUAUAAUCAAAUAAAUUUGUAUGUGUCAUAUCUAAAUGGACCCUACUCACCUGGGGCUUAUUGAUAUAAUUUUGUUCAUUUGACCACAGACCUAAAGAACUCACCUUUCCAAGUCACCUUGGUUCUAAGGAAGGUUUAUUAACACCAACUCUCGACUGAACUUUAUCACAGAGCAGCAGAAAAAUCUCUUUCUAAAUUAUGCCUUAAAUAAAGCUGUCAAAAGAAUU